GCUCGAUGCCAUUUCAAACUGAAAACGACACCGUAAGAGCUAAUGCGAAUCUUAUUUCCAGUUUCUUCUUCCUUCAACUUGCUUCUCCUUCUGCAGUUGUUGCUUCUCUUUCUAUUCACCUCUCCCUUCCUUGUGGGCAAAAUAUUCUCAAACAAAAUAAUUAAUCCGGUGCAAACAAAAACAAUCUCCAAAUCAUGAGCACGCCACCAGCUACCCAAUCACUAGCCUUCCGUGUAAUGCGACUAUGCCGUCCAUCUUUCCACGUCGACACUCCUCUCCUUCUGGACCCCUCCGAUCUCAUUCUCGGUGAAGACAUCUUCGAAGAUCCUCUCGCCGCCACUCACCUCCCUCCACUCAUCGACACCCACCUCACCAAUCCGAUCGACUCCUCCGAUCUAAGUUACCGCUCUCGAUUCCUCCUCCAAAACCCCUCCGAUUCCUUCGGUCUCUCUGGCCUCCUCGUCCUCCCUCAAUCCUUCGGGGCGAUUUAUUUGGGAGAGACGUUUUGCAGUUACGUUAGCAUUAAUAAUAGUUCUAAUUUUGAAGUUAGAGAUAUUGUAAUUAAGGCUGAAAUGCAAACGGAGAGACAAAGGAUUUUACUGCUAGAUACCUCAAAAACACCUGUUGAAUCGAUUCGAGCCAGUGGCCGUUACGAUUUUAUUGUUGAACAUGAUGUGAAAGAACUCGGAGCUCAUACGUUGGUUUGUACUGCUUUGUAUACUGAUGGUGAUGGUGAAAGGAAAUAUCUGCCGCAGUUUUUCAAGUUUAUCGUUGCAAAUCCGCUUUCGGUUAGGACUAAGGUCCGUGUAGUCAAGGAAACUACAUAUUUAGAGGCAUGCAUUGAGAAUCACACAAAAACAAACCUUUACAUGGACCAAGUUGAGUUUGAGCCAGCUCCAAAUUGGAGUGCAAAAAUUCUAAAAGCUGAUGAACACAAAUCUGAGGAUAAUUCUCCAUCCAGGGAAAUAUUCAAGCCACCUGUGCUUGUUAAAUCUGGUGGAGGAAUUCGCAACUAUCUUUACCAGCUGUCAUUGUCCUCACAUGGUUCAGCAGAGAGUAAUGUUCUCGGUAAGCUUCAGAUAACAUGGCGCACAAAUUUAGGUGAACCUGGUCGCCUACAGACACAGCAAAUACUUGGCACUCCCAUCACGCCUAAGGAGAUAGAGUUACAUGUUGCUGAGGUUCCAUCUGCCAUCAACUUGGAUAGACCAUUUUUGGUACACUUGAAUCUCACAAACCAGACGGAUAGAGAAUUGGGCCCUUUUGAAGUUUGGUUGUCACAAGAUGAUACUCUUGAUGAGAAAACUGUUAUGAUUAAUGGUCUCCAAACAAUGGAAUUAUCCCAGUUGGAAGCAUUUGGUAGCACAGAUUUUUACUUGGGAACCUUUGCAGUGCAUUAUAUUAACGGCACUUCUGCUCAGUGUUGUCAAGAGGCACUUAGGUGCUCACCUCGGCGCUCCAGGCGAGAACCUGAUUGCUACUAAGCUUGGAGUCCAGAAAAUAACAGGCAUUACAGUAUUUGACAAAUCAGAGAAGAAAACUUAUGCCCCAUUGCCUGAUUUAGAGAUAUUCGUGGACAUGCAUUGAUCAGUUGGACCUCCUUAUCCAUUUUCUAUGCUGUGAGGAGCUGUCCAUCCAUGGAGCAAAACGUGUUAAUAUAUCCAGUCAUUCACCUAGACCAAGCAAAUUUUAUACUGAAAGCCCUUGUUCAACUACCUUCAUGGAAUAUCAUUUGUUCCAGCAGCUCCAUCGACUUGCUGCUGUGCUUCACUAAUCUCGCCGCCCCCAGGAGCAAGUCCAGAUGGAUUCCCUAUAAAAUGAUCCCAGAGGAUUGGGGAGGAGGCUUGAAACAUCUUUUCCAAGCAUUUGCUGUGAUGACUAGAUUUCAGCUUUGUUGCUUUUCUGUUGUAGAUAGUGAAACUCUUUUUGCCAUGAUCCACGAAGCUAAACAGUAUCAUGAUAGGCAUUUCAAAUUAAUGAAUUAAAAUAAUUUUAGUUUGUA